CAAAAAGUAGUUUAUAAAAAAUAAUAGUUUUGGGUGCUAUAGAAAUUAGUAUUCUUUUUGA
rnacentral:tRNA from 1 species